ACUCAAUUUGUUUUCUACGUUAAUCAAAAUAUGUGGUUCGGGGGGGGGGUCUCAAAGUGCAUCAACAAAUUUUGAGAAAAGUUUUUGUGUUGGAUCUUAUUAAUGAGAAACUUGCAGCGUUAGCUACUACCUCUAUUCCCCAACAACUGUGGCAGAUUUAGUUGAUUUCCAUGCAUAUCCACUUCCACUGCUCCAUGAAAAUAUCUGAACGUCAUCUCUAUAAUUUACACAUCCUCCUACUAAAAGAUGACCAAUACUUCAACAGGCAAUAAGAAAGCACACAGCAGUGAGACAGCAAUGUAAGUAUUCUAUUGUUGGUUUUACGUCAGAUACCCUUUCUACAACCAGCACGAUGACCAGCAGCACUUUGAAAAGUAACGAAGUCACUCGGAAGAGUCAACGAAGUCAAAAACUACCUGGGCGCAAGUAAUUCCAAACGUCGGAGCCGUUCCUCACGCCGUCCGCCCCCACGUCAUUUUCUCUCUGCAGCCCAUCGCCGCAGUUAACCGCAACAAGUUCCUUUCUGCUGUUCUCCCCCUGAUCCUCAAUGCCACUGAGACCACCGAGAUCCGUAUCGCCGCCGUCUCCACCGUGUUCCACGUAAGU
rnacentral:lncRNA from 1 species